AUGGGUGGAAUAGGUAGAACAAAAAGAGGGAAGAACUAGCGGCUGUGGUAGGGAAGAUAAGAUGUGGAAAGGAAUUUCAAAGGAUAACGGAAGAAGUUAAAAAUGGCAUAGCUAUGAAUCUUAAAAUUUUUAUGAAAAUAUCAUAACACGGUACCUUAUCCACAUUCAACGGGAUUUCAUUAAGUUUUUAGAUUUGUUCCCAGAAGAAGUUAAAAAUGGCAUAGCUAUGAAUCUUAAUUUUUUUAUGAAAAUAUCAUAACACAGUACCUUAUCCACAUUCAACGGGAUUUCAUUAAGUUGUUAGAUUUGUUCCCAUUUUAAUCUGUUUGUUCUGGAUACCAACCAACUGGUUACCUGUACUACAAACACCAUCUCGAAAGUUAGAUUUGUUCCCAUUUUAAUCUGUUUGUUCUGGAUAUUGACCAACUGGUUACCUGCACUACUAACACCAUCUCAAAAGUUUUGAAUUUUGUAGGCUCGACCUAAACCUAAUUAAACUCAGUUUUGAAUUUUGGGCUCAAAUCAGUAUUUACCACUCUCUUCUGUUGCACAACAUGAUAUCCUCAUGAUGAUCUGUUGUUGGUAAGAGGAUCUUGCAGGUAUUAGAUCUGAUCAUGGAAAUCAAUUCUUGGUAUUCUUGCAAUCUGUUUUAGGCAAAAGAAAAAACAUAUCGAUCAGACAAUCUCAGCAAUCUUUGAUGUAGAAUCAACAGUAGUUGCAAUAUGCAACAACUUCGAUGCAUCAACUUCAACAUCAAUUGAACAUAAGAGGUCAAUUGUAGGCUUUGAUGAAGGGAUUAGUGGUUUUGCAACUGAGGAAAGAUCUUAAUCCUUAAUCGUAAAUUCAUUAAUUGUUGUAAAAUCAACAGCUGGUAGACAACAUUUGCAUCUUUUGGUGCCUCAAUAGUUUGUCCAUUAAACACGAUCAUAGUAGACUCAACAGUUCGUGGUUCUGUAUGGUUUGUUUUUAGAACUGUUAGCAAAUGUAGAAGUUAGAGGACCUUUUGGUCUGUUGUGGCAGGUGGUGUAGAUUCUAUCAUUAUUUUUUCUGCUUCAAUUUUCCACUCUUCAUGGUUUGAUUCUAUCAUUGUUUGAUUUUCCUCACAUCUUCAUUACUUAAGUUUUGCCAAAGCUCUGUCACUCAAAUUAAACCUAAAAAAAACAUAAAAAUAAUUAUAGAAAAUGUCAAAAAAAUUAUAAAUUUAAACUUUCACUAUUUCAUAAUUUAUUUCUUUGUAAAUAUAGUUGUUCAAGUUAGUUGGAUUUAAUCUUGAAUUUGGAAGCCCAUGUUUGCUUUUCGUCUCCCCAAGCUUCCCAUUUGGCCUGUA
rnacentral:lncRNA from 1 species